UACGUAGGGGGCUAGCGUUGUCCGGAAUCAUUGGGCGUAAAGAGCGUGUAGGCGGCCCGGUAAGUCCGCUGUGAAAGUCGGGGGCUCAACCCUCGGAUGCCGGUGGAUACUGUCGGGCUAGAGUACGGAAGAGGCGAGUGGAAUUCCUGGUGUAGCGGUGAAAUGCGCAGAUAUCAGGAGGAACACCUAUUGCGAAGGCGGCUCUCUGGACCAGCACUGACACUGAGGCACGAAAGCGUGGGGAGCAAACAGG
rnacentral:rRNA from 1 species